GCCCGGUUAGCACAGCCGGUAGAGCGUUGGACUUUUAAUCCAACGCGCCAAGGGUUCAAGUACCUUAUCGCGCU
rnacentral:tRNA from 1 species